AUUCCAGCUCCAAUAGCGUAUAUUUAAGUUGCUGCAGUUAAAAAGCUCGUAGUUGGAUUUCGGGUGGGAAUGGCCGGUCCGCCGUUUCGGUGUGCACUUGCUAGUCCCACCUUGCUGCCGGGGACGUGCUCUUGGGUUUCGGCUCGGGACACGGAGUCGGCGAGGUUACUUUGAGUAAAUUAGAGUGUUCAAAGCAGGCCUACGCUCUGAAUACAUUAGCAUGGAAUAACACGAUAGGACUCUGGCCUAUCUUGUUGGUCUGUAGGACCGGAGUAAUGAUUAAGAGGGACAGUCGGGGGCAUUCGUAUUUCAUUGUCAGAGGUGAAAUUCUUGGAUUUAUGAAAGACGAACUACUGCGAAAGCAUUUGCCAAGGAUGUUUUCAUUG
rnacentral:rRNA from 1 species